CCUACGGGAGGCAGCAGUGGGGAAUAUUGCACAAUGGGGGAAACCCUGAUGCAGCGACGCCGCGUGAGUGAAGAAGUAUUUCGGUAUGUAAAGCUCUGUCAGCAGGGAAGAAAAUGACGGUACCUGACCUAUAAGCUCCGGCUAACUACGUGCCAGCAGCCGCGGUAAUACGUAGGGGGCAAGCGUUAUCCGGAUUUAAUGGGUGUAAAGGGAGCGUAGACGGCAGGGCAAGUCUGGAGGGAAAGUCGGGGGCUCAACCCCCGGACUGCUCUGGAAACUGCCAGGCUGGAGUGCAGGAGAGGUAAGUGGAAUUCCUAGUGUAGCGGUGAAAUGCGUAGAGAUUAGGAGGAACACCAGUGGCGAAGGCGGCUUAUUGGACUGUAACUGACGUUGAGGCUCGAAAGCGUGGGGAGCAAACAGGAUUAGAUACCCCUGUAGUC
rnacentral:rRNA from 1 species